GGUCAUCUAUUCAUCAUUUUCCAAAAAAAUCCAACACAUACUGCUUAACUCUUAUGGAGCACUUCUCUUUGCAUUAUGAGAGAGGUUCCUAUGGUCUUUAUAAAUAUUUAUGAUACCCGACUGGCCAUGUUACAUAUACUGUGCUUUGCUAAUAUGAGUCAUGGCUUAAAGUCUUCCUGCGCACAGAGCACGGGGAUUGUGGAUGUGUGGAAUGAUAUCCUGGCCGGGGAGCAAAGACGCUCACUACGAUUGUUCUGUGGUUCUGCUUAAAGAAUUUGCGCAUAACCGUGUCAAAAUACAGGUACUUCUUUUCUUGAAGAAGAAGAAAAAAGCAAUCUGUUUCGAUCCAUAUGAAAAAAGCAUUUCAAAACUGAAAACACGGCAUGUAAAGAAGAAAGAGGUACCUAAUCAUGGUACAGGAGCCUCCAUUAUUUGCAGUUUUGCUUUCCACGGUUUCAGUUACCCCUGGUCAGCCU
rnacentral:lncRNA from 12 species